CCGACCUUAGCUCAGUUGGUAGAGCGGAGGACUGUAGUGGGUUUGCAGAUUAUCCUUAGGUCGCUGGUUCGAAUCCGGCAGGUCGGA
rnacentral:tRNA from 11 species